rnacentral:rRNA from 1 species
GAUGAACGCUGGCGGCGUGCCUAAUACAUGCAAGUCGAGCGAACAGACGAGGAGCUUGCUCCUCUGACGUUAGCGGCGGACGGGUGAGUAACACGUGGAUAACCUACCUAUAAGACUGGGAUCACUUCGGGAAACCGGAUCUAAUCCCGGAUAAUAUAUUGAACCGCAUGGUUCAAUAGUGAAAGACGGUUUUGCUGUCACUUAUAGAUGGAUCCGCGCCGCAUUAGCUAGUUGGUAAGGUAACGGCUUACCAAGGCUACGAUGCGUAGCCGACCUGAGAGGGUGAUCGGCCACACGGGAACUGAGACACGGUCCAGACUCCUACGGGAGGCAGCAGUAGGGAAUCUGCCGCAAUGGGCGAAAGCCUGACGGAGCAACGCCGCGUGAGUGAUGAAGGUCUUCGGAUCGUAAAGCUCUGUUACUAGGGAAGAACAAAUGUGUAAGUAGCUAUGCACGUCUUGACGGUACCUAAUCAGAAAGCCACGGCUAACUACGUG